ACUCUCUUUUCAAAGUUCUUUUCAUCUUUCCCUCACGGUACUUGUUCGCUAUCGGUCUCUCGCCAAUAUUUAGCCUUAGAUGAAAUUUACCACCCAUUUUGAGCUGCAUUCCCAAACAACUCGACUCUUUGAAAACGUAUCACAUAGUAGCAUGCACU
rnacentral:rRNA from 1 species